UCCUCACUUUCCAGACGGGGCAGCCAGGCAU
rnacentral:piRNA from 1 species